rnacentral:rRNA from 1 species
GAUGAACGCUGGCGGCGUGCCUAAUACAUGCAAGUCGAGCGAAUGGAUUAAGAGCUUGCUCUUAUGAAGUUAGCGGCGGACGGGUGAGUAACACGUGGGUAACCUGCCCAUAAGACUGGGAUAACUCCGGGAAACCGGGGCUAAUACCGGAUAACAUUUUGAACCGCAUGGUUCGAAAUUGAAAGGCGGCUUCGGCUGUCACUUAUGGAUGGACCCGCGUCGCAUUAGCUAGUUGGUGAGGUAACGGCUCACCAAGGCAACGAUGCGUAGCCGAGCUGAGAGGGUGAGCGGCCAAACUGGGACUGAGACACGGCCCAGACGCCUACGGGAGGCAGCAGUAGGGAAUCUUCCGCAAUGGACGAAAGUCUGACGGAGCAACGCCGCGUGGGUGAUGAAGGCUUUCGGGUCGUAAAACUCUGUUGUUAGGGAAGAACAAGUGCUAGUUGAAUGAGCUGGCACCUUGACGGUACCUAACCAGAAAGCCACGGCUAACUACGUGCCAGCCGCCGCAGUAA